CACGUAGGGGGCGAGCGUUGUCCGGAUUCAUUGGGCGUAAAGAGCUCGUAGGCGGCUCAGUAAGUCGGGUGUGAAACCCUCAGGCUCAACAUGGGGACGCCACUCGAUACUGCUGUGGCUAGAGUCCAGUAGGGGAGUGUGGAAUUCCCGGUGUAGCGGUGAAAUGCGCAGAUAUCGGGAGGAACACCAGCGGCGAAGGCGGCACUCUGGGCUGGUACUGACGCUGAGGAGCGAAAGCGUGGGUAGCAAACAGG
rnacentral:rRNA from 1 species